rnacentral:tRNA from 1 species
AGUACGUGGGGUUUUGGGCCCCUCAGUGCAGGCUCGGAUCCUGUCUCUCUA